CUACAGGCUUAACACAUAGCAAGUCGAGGGGAAACGACAUCGAAGCUUGCUUUUGAUGGGUGUCGACCGCGCACGGUGAGUAACGCGUAUCCAACCUGCCCACCACUUGGGGAUAACCUUGCGAAAGUAAGACUAAUACCCAAUGAUAUCCCACGAAGGCAUCCGAAUGGGAUUAAAGAUUUAUCGGUGAUGGAUGGGGAUGCGUCUGAUUAGCUUGUUGGCGGGGUAACGGCCCACCAAGGCUACGAUCAGUAGGGGUUCUGAGAGGAAGGUCCCCCACAUUGGAACUGAGACACGGUCCAAACUCCUACGGGAGGCAGCAGUGAGGAAUAUUGGUCAAUGGGCGAGAGCCUGAACCAGCCAAGUAGCGUGCAGGAUGACGGCCCUAUGGGUUGUAAACUGCUUUUAUAAGGGAAUAAAGUGAGCCUCGUGAGGCUUUUUGCAUGUACCUUAUGAAUAAGGACCGGCUAAUUCCGUG
rnacentral:rRNA from 1 species